AAUGGCAAACAAAAACAUGGCAAAUUCAACUGGUUUUGAAAAGCCAUCAGUUCAAACAGUGCAGGAAACAACUGAUCCAGAGCAAGCAGUAAGCUAGGCUGGUGAGCACUGCAUACAGAACCCAUUACCUUAGUAGACAGGGGUGACUCAGGUCAGUAGGGAUUGAUCUGUUGUCAUGGCUCUGCAUCCAGUGAGUAUCUGCUGUUUGAGAUCAGGGCUGAACAGUUAUCUUCAGCCCUGCUCUAUUUAGCUGAGUAGGUGUAGUUAAAGCAUCUCAGACCAGGCUUAGGCACUACCAAAAUUACUGCUUCUGAACUUCCUUCCACUCACCUUUCAGGUGUUUUGGUUUCUGCACUUAGGAAAUGAGAUUUGAUGAUCACAGGUGAGAUGAGAGAGUAAAUGGGAUGUGAGGUGCUGAGACAAGGAGAUGGAGCUUGUCAGUGCCAGUUCUGAGUGCAGAUCUCCUCCUGUGUGGGAAGACAACUAAAGCUCUUUGUUAAUUAAUUAAGCCUUGCAAUACUCAAGGAAGCAUGGGGAUGGAUUCCAAGGCACAGUGAAUGAGACCAAGCUUUUGGAUACAGAGAUAAGAUACAAUAGGGAACUUAAAAAGCUGAAAGAAAGGAAGAGGUGGUAGCUGUAAUGAGACAAAUUUGAAAAGCAUUGCAGGACAGGAAGCAGUUCUGGCAUCAGCAGCCUCACAUGCCAUGUGACACCACUGAUGGAUUUUGGAAAGGAAAGGCAUGACAGCAUUUAAAAAUUUUCCACGGAAAUACAUAGCAGGCACUACUUUAUGAGAAACCUACCUAUGCAGUCUUACUACAUUCCUGUUUAAAAAAAAAAAAGAAGUAAAACACGAUCUUUAUUUUAAACCUGAUCUGCUGUUCUCCUCUUAAAACGAACCUGUAACUGAAACCAUGGGAGCUGAUGUCUUCUGCUAAAGAAUAAAAGCGGAGCACAACGUUCCGCAGCCCUCCUGAUCAGCUGCCAUUCGAACAACUCAACCGAAAUCAACGGGACCGCUUGUACGUCCCAGUGCCGGCCGGCAGGAGGGCUGCUGACAGCCCGAAGCGCUUCUGGACGGAAGACGUAGCAACGCGCGCUCGCAGCACCGCUUAAAACCCAUCUAUUUUAAAACUUCUUCCUCACGCGAAAGCCAACGCAUCUUCAGGCAGCAGCUGUGCGGCAGCAAGCCGAGAUAAAAAGGCCGAGUCCGCAGCGCCAAUGGGACAGCGCGGACCGGGAGGCGGCGAGCGGCUUCCUGCCCAGCGCCGCAGCAGCGGGAGGAGCAGCUGGAGCAGCAGCAGCAGGAGGAGGAAGAGGAGCAGCAGCAGCAGGAGGCGGCGGCUGUGCCGGGGGUGCUGCUGGGUGGCGGAAGGCGGCCGCACGUGCUGGCAGGAGCCGUGGAGCCGGCGGGCGGUGCUGCUGCGUUUCUGAGGCAUUUCGCUGGUUUUUUUUUUUUCUGCAGAAUGGAUUUUUAACGCUAUUUCUGCAGGGACCACAGAUACGCGCGCCAAGCAUUUUUUUUUUUUUUAAGUCAGACUCCUGUUAUCUAAUCGGUAGCAUCUUUUUCAUCCCAGUCCGCUUCUUUCUGAACGCCUGCUCCCCGCUCCCUGAGAGCGGCUCGGGCCGAAAGCCGCCCGGCGCUGAGCUG